AGCGAACGCUGGCGGCAUGCCUAACACAUGCAAGUCGCACGGGGGGGCUUCGGCCUCCCAGUGGCGGACGGGUGAGGAACGCGUAGGGACCUGUCGAGGGGUGGGGGAUAACCGCGGGAAACUGCGGCUAAUACCGCAUGACGCCGCGGCGUGACAGCCGGGGCCAAAGGCGAAAGCCGCCCGCCGAGGGGCCUGCGUCCGAUUAGCUGGUUGGCGGGGUAGCGGCCCACCAAGGCGUCGAUCGGUAGCUGGUCUGAGAGGGUGAUCAGCCACACCGGGACUGAGACACGGCCCGGACUCCUACGGGAGGCAGCAGUGGGGAAUAUUGGACAAUGGGCGCAAGCCUGAUCCAGCAAUGCCGCGUGGGUGAAGAAGGUCUUCGGAUUGUAAAGCCCGUUCGGCGGGGACGAUGGUGACGGUACCCGCAGAAGAAGCCCCGGCUAACUUCGUG
rnacentral:rRNA from 1 species